AUCUGAUCAGCUCUUCAUUUAAAUUCAUAGAUAGAGCUUAAUCUUCCCCUGGACCAGAUAUAUGAAAAUGAAUACAGUUUCUGGUCUCCCUUUCUCAUGUUCUCUUUUCUUUAUGAAGUUUAGGUGGUCUCUUAGAAUAUCAGAAGACAUCAUAGAGGAGAUCUAGUCCAGUUUUUCAUUCAGUAGAAUGAUCUCUACUGGAACAUUCCAGACAAAUGGACAUCUGGUCUCUGAUGGAACACUUCUAAUAAUAGUGAACUCAUCACCUCCCAGAGGCCAAAACUGCCCAAUGGGAACAGAGCAGCUGGCAGGACCUGGAGACCACUGGAAGGAAAACUCCAAGAGGACAAGCAAUACAUUUUUGGAUUUCUUAGUAUCCAUAGAACUUGCCACAGUGCCUGACACAUACUAAACCUGUAAUAAAUGCUUAUAGAUCGCC